rnacentral:lncRNA from 1 species
GAAUUUAAAACUUUCUUUACCAAGAAAACAUUUAAUUAAAAAUAGCAAGCGGAAGACUUUCUAGACUUUAUACAUGAUGUCUCAUAACCAUCUAAUACUUUAGAGUACAAAAUUCGGGACUAAUCCCGUACACAACUCAAACAAUACAAAAAAGACAUAAAAGAACAUAUUGGGUAUUGUCCUCGAAUCUAUGAGGACUCACCAAGUCUUCAUCUUCAACACUUAGAAACCUAUCAAA